UACGUAGGGUGCGAGCGUUGUCCGGAAUUAUUGGGCGUAAAGAGCUCGUAGGCGGCCAGUUGCGUCUGCUGUGAAAUCCCGGGGCUCAACCCCGGGCGUGCAGUGGAUACGGGCUGGCUAGAGGCAGGCAGGGGAGAACGGAAUUCCCGGUGUAGCGGUGAAAUGCGCAGAUAUCGGGAGGAACACCGGUGGCGAAGGCGGUUCUCUGGGCCUUACCUGACGCUGAGGAGCGAAAGCGUGGGGAGCGAACAGG
rnacentral:rRNA from 1 species